rnacentral:rRNA from 1 species
AGAGACAGCAGUCGCCGCGGUAAUACAGAGGGUGCGAGCGUUAAUCGGAUUUACUGGGCGUAAAGCGUGCGUAGGCGGCUUUUUAAGUCGGAUGUGAAAUCCCUGAGCUUAACUUAGGAAUUGCAUUCGAUACUGGGAAGCUAGAGUAUGGGAGAGGAUGGUAGAAUUCCAGGUGUAGCGGUGAAAUGCGUAGAGAUCUGGAGGAAUACCGAUGGCGAAGGCAGCCAUCUGGCCUAAUACUGACGCUGAGGUACGAAAGCAUGGGGAGCAAACAGGAUUAGAUACCCGGGUAGUCCCUGUCUCUUAUAC